rnacentral:rRNA from 1 species
GCGCCAGACUCCUACGGGAGGCAGCAGUGGGGAAUAUUGCACAAUGGGGGAAACCCUGAUGCAGCGACGCCGCGUGAGCGAAGAAGUAUUUCGGUCUGUAAAGCUCUAUCAGCAGGGAAGAAAAUGACGGUACCUGAGUAAGAAGCCCCGGCUAACUACGUGCCAGCAGCCGCGGUAAUACGUAGGGGGCAAGCGUUAUCCGGAUUUACUGGGUGUAAAGGGGGCGCAGACGGCAGCGCAAGCCAGGAGUGAAAGCCCGGGGCCCAACCCCGGGACUGCUCUUGGAACUGCGCGGCUGGAGUGCAGGAGGGGCAGGCGGAAUUCCUGGUGUAGCGGUGAAAUGCGUAGAUAUUAGGAGGAACACCAGUGGCGAAGGCGGCUUACUGGACUGUAACUGACGUUGAGGCUCGAAAGCGUGGGGAGCAAACAGGAUUAGAUACCCCAGUAGG